CCUGCCCCAUAGUCUGGGAUACCACUUGGAAACAGGUGCUAAUACCGGAUAAGAAAGCGGAUCGCAUGAUCAGCUUUUAAAAGGCGGCGUAAGCUGUCGCUAUGGGAUGGCCCCGCGGUGCAUUAGCUAGUUGGUAAGGUAAAGGCUUACCAAGGCGAUGAUGCAUAGCCGAGUUGAGAGACUGAUCGGCCACAUUGGGACUGAGACACGGCCCAAACUCCUACGGGAGGCAGCAGC
rnacentral:rRNA from 1 species